ACUGCGUGUCAUGCGGAGGGUUUGUGCAAGCUCUCUGGGCGGCGACGCUAGCCACGGAGCUGGCCUCCCUCCCUUCCGUCAGCUGCAAUAUACUACAAGCACUGGGCUACAGCUGCAGCUAGCCCAUGGGUACCGUUCUGCGUCCUGUACUGCAUCUAGUUCGAAACGCCAUGUGAAAGGCAGGUACCGGGGACCAUGACAUCAAUGAGCUGGCUUUCACCUUGUCCAAGGCAGCAGCGGAACACUACGGGCGGGACCCUGGAUCACUGCACCGUGGAUGCCAUUCUGUACCCUGCACGGCACUGCGUGUGGCUUAAGUGGCCAAGCAGAGGGUCAUUGCAUGACUUUUAUGAGGCGCCGCUAGCCAUUGUUUCAAACCGCCCUGAAUCGUGGAUCAAGCCUUGCAAGAUGGAAGUUCUCUUUAGGCCCAGCGCCUCUUGUUGGAUCAAGUCUUGUACGCCAUUCCCUCGUGUCUUUCAUAUAGUAAAUUGUUGGUAUUUCUUUUAUGACAGUGCGCACUACCUGCCAACCACGUUUUACAGUCGAAACGCAGUGUACCGAGACUUCUUUUAUAUAGACCCCUUUCUUUGCAAACGCCACCAGGCGGUGCUCCAGUUUGUUUGACGUCUCAGCGAACUUCUGAUUCAAAACAAGAAUGAACAAAACCCACUUUGACACUGCUGCCUAAAAUGUCGAUAAAAUGUGUAACCACCAAUUCUCCAGAUGAGCGCCAAAAGAAUGAAGAAACGGGAGAUAUGUUAAAAUGUUUCGAAUAUUUUGUACGCCAACUUGCCUCCUCCAAGACAUUAAAUUGUACAGCCAAUUGCCCUCAUUAAAUC